UACCUGCUGGCUAGUCUCGCAUUGCCAUACCUCCAAAUUCACGUCGUUGUCUUCGGUGUCUGGAGAAUUUUGUAUUGCAAAAAAAGGUGCUGGCUCCGCUUUGCUACCACCGAAAGUAUUGUGAAGAUUGCCCAUUAUUUUGUUUUUGUAACGACCCAAAAAGACAGAGGUGGUGGGAGAGCCUAUUCAAAUAUGGAAAGCAGUGAAAGCUUGUUUGCAGAUGAAGAGUGAGGUCCCAAUAAAUGUCCAAAGUGACUACAGGUAUAUCCUAUAUGCCAUGGGUUAUAUGUGUAGGCCUACCUAUGUUAGAAAAUGUUGUAUACAAAAAAACAGUUAAACGUCACACACAAUGUAUAAACCUAUUACAAUUGGAGCAGGCUGGAGGUCUGCUGGGUGUGCAAGGUUAUGUUUCAGCCCAGCAAUAACACACCUGAUUCAACAUAUCAAAUCGAAUGAGUUGAUAAUCAGGUGUGCGAUUGCUGGGCUAGAAUAGAAGUCUGCUCACCCAGUAGAUAGAUCAGGGAUCAGUGGAGCAAGGUUGAGUUUUUUUUGUUCUCCUGGAAUGAUACUUUAGUAAUAAUAGCCUACUUGUUACUACUCAAUUAUCUAUUGUUGUUUAGACUAAGAUGUCUAAUCUUUACACAUGAGUUAGCUUAUUUGUACAUUUUGAA